CUGCUUUCAAAUAGUCCGUGAUUUUAGUAUACUGGAAAAGCCGGUUCACCGGCUAUGGCGAUAAACGCCAUGCGGAAUAGACGUUACGGACCCGGGGGCAGUGCCCGGCGCCUCCACCAUAUUCCCGCCGCAGGGCGGAUUCUAUGGGGGCGAAACAGGAUUGACGUGCGUGGUAAAGGUAUGGUUUUUGCUCGGCGGGGCGCCACCGUUAUCGGUCCAAAACCUAGAAAUGCCAACGAUAAUGAGGCAUUUGCCGUAGCCGCUUAAUUGCGUAUGCGACGGGGCACGAGGGGCGCCUGGCAACAGAAGCCCCUCACU
rnacentral:tmRNA from 2 species